AGAUUGAACGCUGGCGGCAUGCCUUACACAUGCAAGUCGAACGGCAGCACGGGAGCAAUCCUGGUGGCGAGUGGCGAACGGGUGAGUAAUAUAUCGGAACGUGCCCAGUCGUGGGGGAUAACGCAGCGAAAGCUGUGCUAAUACCGCAUACGAUCUAUGGAUGAAAGCGGGGGAUCGCAAGACCUCGCGCGAUUGGAGCGGCCGAUAUCAGAUUAGCUAGUUGGUGGGGUAAAAGCCUACCAAGGCGACGAUCUGUAGCUGGUCUGAGAGGACGACCAGCCACACUGGAACUGAGACGACGGUCCAGACUCCGUACGGGAGGCAGCGAGGUGGGUAAUUUUGGGACUAAGUCGGCGAGAACGUCCGUGACUCCC
rnacentral:rRNA from 1 species